rnacentral:rRNA from 1 species
GUAGCUGGUCUGAGAGGAUGACCAGCCACACUGGAACUGAGACACGGUCCAGACUCCUACGGGAGGCAGCAGUGGGGAAUAUUGGACAAUGGGGGCAACCCUGAUCCAGCAAUGCCGCGUGUGUGAAGAAGGCCUGAGGGUUGUAAAGCACUUUCAGUGGGGAGGAGGRUUGAUAGGUUAAGAGCUARUUAAUUGGACGUUACCCACAGAAGAAGCACCGGCUAACUCCGUGCCAGCAGCCGCGGUAAUACGGAGGGUGCGAGCGUUAAUCGGAAUUACUGGGCGUAAAGGGUGCGUAGGUGGUURAUUAAGUUAUCUGUGAAAUCCCUGGGCUUAACCUGGGCAGGUCAGAUAAUACUGGUURACUCGAGUAUGG